AUUGAACGCUGGCGGCAGGCCUAACACAUGCAAGUCGAGCGGUAGCACAAAGAAGCUUGCUUCUUGGGUGACGAGCGGCGGACGGGUGAGUAAUGCAUAGGAAUCUGCCCGAUAGUGGGGGAUAACCUGGGGAAACCCAGGCUAAUACCGCAUACGUCCUACGGGAGAAAGGGGGCUUCGGCUCCCGCUAUUGGAUGAGCCUAUGUCGGAUUAGCUAGUUGGUAGGGUAAAGGCCUACCAUGGCGACGAUCCGUAGCUGGUCUGAGAGGAUGAUCAGCCACAUCGGGACUGAGACACGGCCCGAACUCCUACUGGAGGCAGCAGUGGGGAAUAUUGGACAAUGGGGGCAACCCUGAUCCAACCUUGCCGCGUGUGUGAAGAAGGCCCUCGGGUUGUAAAGCACUUUCAGCGAGGAAGAACGCCUAGUGGUUAAUACCCAUUAGGAAAGACAUCACUCGCAGAAUAAGCACCGGUUAACUUCCGUGCCAGCAGCCGCGGUAAUACUGAGGGUGCAAGCGUUUAUCGGAAUUUACUGGGCGUAAAGCGCGCGUAAGGGGUUUGAUUAGCCGGAUGUGAAAACCCCUGGGCUUAACCUGGGAACGGCAUCCUGAACUUGCAUGCUAAUAUGCUGGAAAUGAAGGUAGAAUUCCCGGUGUAUCCGGUGAAUUGCCUACAAUCGGUGGGAAUACCAGUUGCCAAUGCUGCCUUUCUGGACUGACCUGAUCACUUAGGUGCAAAUCCGUGGGUAGCCAAACAGGAUUUGAUACCUUGGUAGUCCACCCGUAAAAGAAGUCGACCAGCCGUUGGGUGGCCUAGCGCACUUUGAGGCGAAGUUAACGCGAUAAGUCGACCGCCUGGGGAGUACGGCCGCAAGGUUAAAACUCAAAUGAAUUGACGGGGGCCCGCACAAGCGGUGGAGCAUGUGGUUUAAUUCGAUGCAACGCGAAGAACCUUACAUACUACUUGACAUCUACAGAAGCCGGAAGAGAUUCUGGUGUGCCUUCGGGAACUGUAAGACAGGUGCUGCAUGGCUGUCGUCAGCUCGUGUUGUGAAAUGUUGGGUUAAGUCCUGUAACGAGCGCAACCCUUGUCCUUAUUUGCCAGCACGUAAUGGUGGGAACUCUAAGGAGACUACCGGUGACAAACCGGAGGAAGGUGGGGACGACGUCAAGUCAUCAUGGCCCUUACGAGUAGGGCUACACACGUGCUACAAUGGCCGGUACAAAGGGCUGCGAGCUCGCGAGAGUCAGCGAAUCCCUUAAAGCCGGUCUCAGUCCGGAUCGGAGUCUGCAACUCGACUCCGUGAAGUCGGAAUCGCUAGUAAUCGUGAAUCAGAAUGUCACGGAGAAUACGUUCCCGGGCCU
rnacentral:rRNA from 1 species